rnacentral:rRNA from 1 species
UGAGUAAUGCCUAGGAAUCUGCCUGGUAGUGGGGGACAACGUUUCGAAAGGAACGCUAAUACCGCAUACGUCCUACGGGAGAAAGCAGGGGACCUUCGGGCCUUGCGCUAUCAGAUGAGCCUAGGUCGGAUUACCUAGUGGGGGGGGGGUAGGGGCUCACCAGGGCGACGAUCCGUAACUGGUCUGAGAGGAUGACCAGUCACACUGGAACUGAGAAAAGGGGCCAAAACUCCAGGGGGGGGCAGCAGUGGGGAAUAUUGGACAAUGGGCGAAAGCCUGAUCCAGCCAUGCCGCGUGUGUGAAGAAGGUCUUCGGAUUGUAAAGCACUUUAAGUUGGGAGGAAGGGCAGUAAGUUAAUACCUUGCUGUUUUGACGUUACCGACAGAAUAAAGCACCGGCUAACUCUGUGCCAGCAGCCGCGGUAAUACAGAGGGUGCAAGCGUUAAUCGGAAUUACUGGGCGUAAAGCGCGCGUAGGUGGUUUGUUAAGUUGGAUGUGAAAGCCCCGGG